rnacentral:rRNA from 1 species
CUUGAACUCUGGCGGCAUGCCUAACACAUGCCAGUCGACCGAGUGGCGGACGGGUGAGUAAUGUCUGUGCAACUGCCUUUUGUAGGUGGCUAACUUCUUGAAACGGUAGCUACUACCGCCUACCCUCAGAUGUUCCCAGAUGGGCUUAGCUUGUUGGUGGGGUAACGGCUCACCAUGGCGACGAUCCCUAGCUGGUCUGAGAGGAUGACCAGCCACACUGGAACGGAGACACGGUCCAGACUCCUACGGGAGGCAGCAGUGGGGAAUAUUGCACAAUGGGCGCAAGCCUGAGGCAGCCAUGCCGCGUGUAUGAAGAAGGCCUUCGGGUUGUAAAGUACUUUCAGCGGGGAGGCGUUACCCGCAGAAGAAGCACCGGCUAACGCCGUGCCAGCAGCCGCGGUAAUUC